CACACUGCAUACACUAACACAACACACACACUGCAUACACUAACACACAACACACACACUGCAUACACUAACAACACACACACUGCAUACACUAACACAACACACACUACAUACACUAACACAACACACACACACUGCAUACACUAACACAACACACAUUGCAUACACUAACACAACACACACACACGCUGCAUCCACUAACACAAC